CAGCCGCCACGGUAAUACGGAGGGUGCAAGCGUUAAUCGGAAUUACUGGGCGUAAAGCGCACGCAGGCGGUUUGUUAAGUCAGAUGUGAAAUCCCCGAGCUUAACUUGGGAACUGCAUUUGAAACUGGCAAGCUAGAGUCUUGUAGAGGGGGGUAGAAUUCCAGGUGUAGCGGUGAAAUGCGUAGAGAUCUGGAGGAAUACCGGUGGCGAAGGCGGCCCCCUGGACAAAGACUGACGCUCAGGUGCGAAAGCGUGGGGAGCAAACAGGAUUAGAUACCCGUGUAGUCCCGUCUCUUAUACA
rnacentral:rRNA from 1 species